rnacentral:rRNA from 1 species
UACGUAGGGGGCUAGCGUUGUCCGGAAUCAUUGGGCGUAAAGAGCGUGUAGGCGGCCCGGUAAGUCCGCUGUGAAAGUCGGGGGCUCAACCCUCGAAUGCCGGUGGAUACUGUCGGGCUAGAGUGCGGAAGAGGCGAGUGGAAUUCCUGGUGUAGCGGUGAAAUGCGUAGAUAUCGGGAGGAACACCAGUGGCGAAGGCGACUUCCUGGCCUGUUCUUGACGCUGAGGCGCGAAAGCUAGGGUAGCAAACGGG